AAUUUCUGAUGUGAUGCGCUUGGCCCACUGGCCCUCAAAAGCCGGCGAGUGCUGACGUGCGUCCAUCAUCCUUCUAGAGAACGACUCUGCCCCUCACGGGGUGGGGCCGCAAUCUAGAUCUUUUACUUUGAAAAAAUUAGAGUGUUUAAGGCAAGCAAUUGCUUUGAAUAUAUUAGCAUGGAAUAAUAAUUUAGGACUUUGUUCUUAUUUUGUUGGUUUCUAAGGAUAAAGUAAUGAUUGAUAGGGACAGUUGGGGGUGCUAGUAUUCAGUGGCCAGAGGUGAAAUUCUUGGAUUCACUGAAGACUAACUUAUGCGAAAGCAUU
rnacentral:rRNA from 1 species